GGAUGGAUAUAGGUCUGUAACAGUUUGGGUCUAGAGGCAGGGCAGGAUGGAUAUAGGUCUGUAACAGUUUGGGUCUAGAGGCAGGGCAGGAUGGAUAUAGGUCUGUAGCAGUUUGGGUCUAGAGGCAGGGCAGGAUGGAUAUAGGUCUGUAACAGUUUGGGUCUAGAGGCAGGGCAGGAUGGAUAUAGGUCUGUAGCAGUUUGGGUCUAGAGGCAGGGCAGGAUGGAUAUAGGUCUGUAGCAGUUUGGGUCUAGAGGCAGGGCAGGAUGGAUAUAGGUCUGUAGCAGUUUGGGUCUAGAGGCAGGGCAGGAUGGAUAUAGGUCUGUAGCAGUUUGGGUCUAGAGGCAGGGCAGGAUGGAUAUAGGUCUGUAGCAGUUUGGGUCUAGA
ensembl:lncRNA